rnacentral:rRNA from 1 species
UACGGAAUGUGCAAACGUUAUUCGGAAUCACUGGGCUUAAAGAGUCCGUAGGCGGCAUGUUAGGUGAGGUGUGAAAUCCCCCGGCUCAACCGAGGAAUUGCGCUUCAAACCGGCGUGCUAGAGGAAGAUAGAGGUGGGCGGAACUGAUGGUGGAGCGGUGAAAUGCGUUGAUAUCAUCAGGAACACCGGAGGCGAAGGCGGCCCACUGGGUCUUUUCUGACGCUGAGGGACGAAAGCGUGGGGAGCAAACAGG